rnacentral:rRNA from 1 species
UACGUAGGGUCCAAGCGUUAACCGGAAUUACUGGGCGUAAAGCGUUCGCAGGCGGUUUUGUAAGUCUGUCGUGAAAGCCCCGGGCUCAACCUGGGGAUUGCGAUGGAGACUGCAAGGCUUGAGUCUGGCAGAGGGGGGUAGAAUUCCACGUGUAGCAGUGAAAUGCGUAGAGAUGUGGAGGAACACCGGUGGCGAAGGCAGCCCCCUGGGUCAAGACUGACGCUCAUGCACGAAAGCGUGGGGAGCAAACAGG